rnacentral:rRNA from 1 species
AUUGAACGCUGGCGGCAGGCCUAACACAUGCAAGUCGAGCGGUAGCACAGAGAGCUUGCUCUCGGGUGACGAGCGGCGGACGGGUGAGUAAUGUCUGGGAAACUGCCUGAUGGAGGGGGAUAACUACUGGAAACGGUAGCUAAUACCGCAUAACGUCGCAAGACCAAAGUGGGGGACCUUCGGGCCUCAUGCCAUCAGAUGUGCCCAGAUGGGAUUAGCUAGUAGGUGGGGUAACGGCUCACCUAGGCGACGAUCCCUAGCUGGUCUGAGAGGAUGACCAGCCACACCGGAACUGAGACACGGUCCAGACUCCUACGGGAGGCAGCAGUGGGGAAUAUUGCACAAUGGGCGCAAGCCUGAUGCAGCCAUGCCGCGUGUGUGAAGAAGGCCUUCGGGUUGUAAAGCACUUUCAGCGGGGAGGAAGGCGAUAAGGUUAAUAACCUUGUCGAUUGACGUUACCCGCAGAAGAAGCACCGGCUAACUCCGUGCCAGCAGCCGCAGAA